rnacentral:rRNA from 1 species
GAGCCCCGUCUGGCUGGCCACCGAGCCUCUGUAAAGCUCCUUCGACGAGUCGAGUAGUUUGGGAAUGCUGCUCAAAAUGGGAGGUAUAUGUCUUCUAAAGCUAAAUAUUGGCCAGAGACCGAUAGCGCACAAGUAGAGUGAUCGAAAGAUGAAAAGCACCUUGAAAAGAGGGUUAAACAGUACGUGAAAUUGUUGAAAGGGAAGCGCUUGUGACCAGACUUGGGCGCGGCGGAUCAUCCGGGGUUCUCUCCGGUGCACUUCGCCGCGUUCAGGCCAGCAUCAGUUCGUCGCGGGGGAAAAAGGCUUCGGGAACGUGGCUCCUCCGGGAGUGUUAUAGCCCGUUGCAUAAUACCCUGCGGUGGACUGAGGACCGCGCAUCUGCAAGGAUGCUGGCUUAAUGGUCACCAGCGACCCGUCUUGAAACACGGACCAAGGAGUCGUCUUCGUAUGCGAGUGUUCGGGUGUCAAACCCCUACGCGUAAUGAAAGUGAACGCAGGUGAGAGCUUCGGCGCAUCAUCGACCGAUCCUGAUGUUCUCGGAUGGAUUUGAGUAAGAGCAUACGGGGCCGGACCCGAAAGAAGGUGAACUAUGCCUGUAUAGGGUGAAGCCAGAGGAAACUCUGGUGGAGGCUCGCAGCGGUUCUGACGUGCAAAUCGAUCGUCAAAUAUGGGCAUGGGGGCGAAAGACUAAUCGAACCUU